CAGUCGCCACGGUAAUACGGAGGGUGCAAGCGUUAAUCGGAAUUACUGGGCGUAAAGCGCACGCAGGCGGUCUGACAAGUCAGGUGUGAAAUCCCCGGGCUUAACCUGGGAACUGCAUUUGAAACUGUCAGGCUGGAGUCUUGUAGAGGGGGGUGGAAUUCCAGGUGUAGCGGUGAAAUGCGUAGAGAUCUGGAGGAAUACCGGUGGCGAAGGCGGCCCCCUGGACAAAGACUGACGCUCAGGUGCGAAAGCGUGGGGAGCAAACAGGAUUAGAUACCCGCGUAGUCCAUGUCUCUUAUAA
rnacentral:rRNA from 1 species